rnacentral:sRNA from 1 species
AGCCAAUUCUGACCCUGUCAACGAAUCAUCCACACACCUGCAGCUCUGCUGAGAGAGUGCAAGUCGUGGGGUUUUCUGGAAUUUCUUCACUUCAAGAAAAAUACUAGACUUGGGAAGGUUCUAGAGAAACAGAAAUACAGAUGAGAGAGAGAAUUCAAUAGCUGAAUAUCAAGACCUUUGAAUUCAACAAGAAGUUGAGACAUUUAUAGUUGUCUAACAACAGACUGAAGAUUGUAGCUUGGUAUUCACUGGCAGGUUUCAGACAUUUAGAUCUUUCUUUUAAUGACUGACACCAUGCCUAUCUGUGGAGAAGCUGGCAACAUGUCACACCUGGAAAUUGUUUUUCAACAUUAAUACUAUUAUUUGGCGGUGAUCCAGAUUGCUUUUGCCACCAACCUGAAGACAUAUAGAGGCAGAAGGACAGGAAUAAUUCUAUUUGUUUCCUGUUUUGAAACUUCCAUCUGUAAGGCUAUCAAAACGAGAUGUGAGAGAGGGUGUUGAGUCUGACCUGACAAUGCAGUUCUUAAACCAAAGGGCCAUUAUGCUUCUCCUCUCUGAGAAUCCUGACUUGCCUCAACAAUGGAGACAUGGCACAG